AGAUUUUUAGUUUAAUUAGAAUAUUUCACUUACAAUGAAAAGGUUAAAAAUCUU
rnacentral:tRNA from 1 species